UACGGAGGGUGCGAGCGUUGUCCGGAAUCACUGGGCGUAAAGGGCGCGUAGGCGGCUUGGGAAGUCCGUGGUGAAAGCCCGAGGCUCAACUUCGGGUCGGCCAUGGAUACUCCUAAGCUCGAGUCGACUAGAGGCUAAUGGAAUUCCGGGUGUAGCGGUGGAAUGCGUAGAGAUCCGGAGGAAGACCGGUGGCGAAGGCGGUCUGCUGGGCAGUUUCUGACACUGAUGCGCGACAGCGUGGGGAGCAAACAGG
rnacentral:rRNA from 1 species